GACGAACGCUGGCGGCGUGCUUAACACAUGCAAGUCGAACGGAAAGGCCCUGCUUUUGUGGGGUGCUCGAGUGGCGAACGGGUGAGUAACACGUGAGUAACCUGCCCUUGACUUUGGGAUAACUUCAGGAAACUGGGGCUAAUACCGGAUAGGAGCUCCUGCUGCAUGGUGGGGGUUGGAAAGUUUCGGCGGUUGGGGAUGGACUCGCGGCUUAUCAGCUUGUUGGUGGGGUAGUGGCUUACCAAGGCUUUGACGGGUAGCCGGCCUGAGAGGGUGACCGGCCACAUUGGGACUGAGAUACGGCUCAGACUCCUACGGGAGGCGGCAGUGGGGAAUAUUGCACAAUAGGCGGAAGCCUGAUGCAGCAACGCCGCGUGCGGGAUGACGGCCUUCGGGUUGUAAACCGCUUUCGCCUGUGACGAAGCGUGAGUGACGGUAAUGGGUAAAGAAGCACCGGCUAACUACGUG
rnacentral:rRNA from 1 species